rnacentral:lncRNA from 1 species
ACUGAAAGCCUGCCUUUCUUUUUUCCCCAGUGCACAUCUCAGAUUAUUUGGCCUUCUUUCCCCCUAAACAUGAGUGAGAAUUCUUUCUAUGCUUCUAGUUGAGAUUGUAGAUAAAUAGAGAAAUCACAUUUGAACAUAGAAAAUGGCUUCUGAUAAAGAAGGCACAUACCAAGUUCUUUAUGAGAUCUUUUCUAAGAUUAUGAAUAUAAUAUUUGACUUGUGUAAAGCAUCAUGUCAUUGACUAAAGAAAAUAUGCAUAUAUAUUAUAUAUAUAUACAAAGUUGUAUAAUAUUUAAAAUAUUUCUGAGUGAUAUGGCUUGAUGGGUGACAGAGUGAGACUCCAUCUCAAAAAUAAAUAAAUAAUAAUAAAAAAAGCUCAGAUAAAUAUAUAAUAAAAUGAUAUAAAUUUAUAGAGCUAUAAUUUUAGGCUCUUAUAUAUGUCCUCCCCAUAAUGGGAGCCCACUGCUCUGGGGUCAGUCAGGUCUCGUAAAGCAACAUUUUUCUGGCUGUGUUUUAACUAUUUUUCUCUAGUCAGAGUGAAAAGAAAGGCAAUCCUGGCUUAUAAAGCUAAACUUUGUGACUUGCAGGGAAAGAGUGCAGCCGUGUGUCAGUGGGCUGGGUUCUGCGUAACCUCGGAUGCCUCUCCUGGCCUCAGUUUGCUCACCUGUCUUAGUGUGAUAAUAACAGUAUCUGCUUCAGUUUCCAAGAGGACUAAAUAAUACAAAACACAUAUCUUGGUGUUUUGUGCAUAAUAAACCUUCAAUGAGUAUUUGCCAUCAUUUCUGCAAUGUUUAGCUUUGUAUCUGAAUUAUUACACGGAAACGAAUCUAAAUUCAGAACAACUCACAAAAAUAAUAUGUUAACAUAAGAUCUUUUGAGUUAAUUUAAAACAUUAAAUAAUAUUUCCAAUGAGAGUUCUUUUUCUUGCCCUUCUCCUUACCCCCCAAACUGUAAAGUGAACAAAGAUGGUAU